rnacentral:rRNA from 1 species
CCAGACUCCUACGGGAGGCAGCAGUGGGGGAUAUUGCACAAUGGGGGGAACCCUGAUGCAGCGACGCCGCGUGGGUGAAGGAGUAUUUCGGUAUGUAAAGCCCUAUCGGCAGGGAAGAAAUUGGACGGUACCUGACUAAGAAGCCCCGGCUAACUACGUGCCAGCAGCCGCGGUAAUACGUAGGGGGCAAGCGUUAUCCGGAAUCACUGGGUGUAAAGGGAGCGUAGACGGCUGUGCAAGCCUGAAGUGAAAGGCGGGGGCGCAACCCCUGGACUGCUUUGGGAACUGUACGGCUGGAGUGCAGGAGAGGUAAGUGGAAUUCCUAGUGUAGCGGUGAAAUGCGUAGAUAUUAGGAGGAACACCAGUGGCGAAGGCGGCUUACUGGACUGUAACUGACGUUGAGGCUCGAAAGCGUGGGGAGCAAACAGGAUUAGAUACCCGAGUAAA